CUAUAAAUAAAAAAAUUAACUCGUAUAUUUUCAAGAAUACGGCUUGAAAGUUUCUACCAGGCUACCUUAAAUAGCUUGACUACGAGUUUAAUGUCUAUAGUA
rnacentral:ncRNA from 2 species